CCUACGGGUGACAGCAGUGAGGAAUAUUGGUCAAUGGACGCGAGUCUGAACCAGCCAAGUAGCGUGAAGGAUGACUGCCCUAUGGGUUGUAAACUUCUUUUAUAUGGGAAUAAAACGUUCCACGUGUGGGAUUUUGUAUGUACCCUAUGAAUAAGGAUCGGCUAACUCCGUGCCAGCAGCCGCGGUAAUACGGAGGAUCCGAGCGUUAUCCGGAUUUAUUGGGUUUAAAGGGAGCGUAGGUGGGUUGUUAAGUCAGUUGUGAAAGUUUGCGGCUCAACCGUAAAAUUGCAGUUGAUACUGGCAGUCUUGAGUACAGUAGAGGUGGGCGGAAUUCGUGGUGUAGCGGUGAAAUGCUUAGAUAUCACGAAGAACUCCGAUUGCGAAGGCAGUUCACUGGACUGCAACUGACACUGAGGCUCGAAAGUGUGGGUAUCAAACAGGAUUAGAUACCCGAGUAGUC
rnacentral:rRNA from 1 species